rnacentral:rRNA from 1 species
GAUGAACGCUGGCGGCGUGCCUAAUACAUGCAAGUCGAGCGAACGGACGAGAAGCUUGCUUCUCUGAUGUUAGCGGCGGACGGGUGAGUAACACGUGGAUAACCUACCUAUAAGACUGGGAUAACUUCGGGAAACCGGAGCUAAUACCGGAUAAUAUUUUGAACCGCAUGGUUCAAAAGUGAAAGACAGUCUUGCUGUCACUUAUAGAUGGAUCCGCGCUGCAUUAUCUAGUUGGUAAGGUAACGGCUUACCAAGGCAACGAUGCAUAGCCGACCUGAGAGGGUGAUCGGCCACACUGGAACUGAGACACGGUCCAGACUCCUACGGGAGGCAGCAGUAGGGAAUCUUCCGCAAUGGGCGAAAGCCUGACGGAGCAACGCCGCGUGAGUGAUGAAGGUCUUCGGAUCGUAAAACUCUGUUAUUAGGGAAGAACAUAUGUGUAAGUAACUGUGCACAUCUUGACGGUACCUAAUCAGAAAGCCACGGCUAACUACGUG